UUGGAAACGACUGCUAAGACUGGAUAGGAGACAAGAAGGCAUCUUCUUGUUUUUAAAAGACCUAGCAAUAGGUAUGCUUAGGGAGGAGCUUGCGUCACAUUAGUUAGUUGGUGGGGUAAAGGCCUACCAAGACUAUGAUGUGUAGCCGGGCUGAGAGGUUGAACGGCCACAUUGGGACUGAGACACGGCCCAAACUCCUACGGGAGGCAGCAGUAGGGAAUUUUCGGCAAUGGAGGAAACUCUGACCGAGCAACGCCGCGUGAACGAUGAAGUAUUUCGGUACGUAAAGUUCUUUUAUUAGGGAAGAAUAAAUGAUGGAAAAAUCAUUCUGACGGUACCUAAUGAAUAAGCCCCGGCUAACUAUGUGCCAGCAGCCGCGGUAAUACAUAGGGGGCAAGCGUUAUCCGGAAUUAUUGGGCGUAAAGGGUGCGUAGGCGGUUAAAUAAGUUUAUGGUCUAAGUGCAAUGCUCAACAUUGUGAUGCUAUAAAAACUGUUUAGCUAGAGUAAGAUAGAGGCAAGUGGAAUUCCAUGUGUAGUGGUAAAAUGCGUAAAUAUAUGGAGGAACACCAGUAGCGAAGGCGGCUUGCUGGGUCUUUACUGACGCUGAGGCACGAAAGCGUGGGGAGCAAACAGGAUUAGAUACCCUGGUAGUCCACGCCGUAAACGAUGAGUACUAAACGUUGGGUAAAACCAGUGUUGAAGUUAACACAUUAAGUACUCCGCCUGAGUAGUACGUACGCAAGUAUGAAACUUAAAGGAAUUGACGGGACUCCGCACAAGCGGUGGAUCAUGUUGUUUAAUUCGAAGGUACCCGAAAAACCUCACCAGGUCUUGACAUGCUUCUGCAAAGCUGUAAAAACACAGUGGAGGUUAUCAGUUGCACAGGUGGUGCAUGGUUGUCGUCAGCUCGUGUCGUGAGAUGUUGGGUUAAGUCCCGCAACGAGCGCAACCCUUAUUGUUAGUUACCAGCACGUAAUGGUGGGGACUUUAGCAAGACUGCCAGUGAUAAAUUGGAGGAAGGUGGGGACGACGUCAAAUCAUCAUGCCCCUUAUGACCUGGGCUACAAACGUGAUACAAUGGCUGUUACAAAGGGUAGCUGAAGCGCAAGUUUUUGGCGAAUCUCAAAAAAACAGUCUCAGUUCGGAUUGAAGUCUGCAACUCGACUUCAUGAAGUUGGAAUCGCUAGUAAUCGCGAAUCAGCAUGUCGCGGUGAAUACGUUCUCGGGGUUUGUACACACCGCCCGUC
rnacentral:rRNA from 2 species